ACUGAUUUCUGGCCAGCUGCCGUGGGAAUACGGAUGAGUCGAGUGUUAUCCGGAUUGAUUGGGUGUAAAGGGUGCGUAGGUGGUUUGAUAAGUCAUCGGUGAAAGUUUGCAGCUUAACUGUAAAAAUGCCGUUGAAACUGUCGGACGUGAGUGUAAAUGAGGUAGGCGGAAUGCGUGGUGUAGCGGUGAAAUGCAUAGAUAUCACGCAGAACUCCGAUUGCGAAGGCAGCUUACUAAGCUACAACUGACACUGAAGCACGAAAGCGUGGGGAUCAAACAGGAUUAGAUACCCCAGUAGUC
rnacentral:rRNA from 1 species